CCUGCACCUGCCGGCGACCGGCGCACGGGUGAGUAACACGUAUGGAACCUGCCCGCCACAGGGGGAUAACCCGGGGAAACCCGGCCUAAUACCCCAUGCCGCCCGGACCGGGCAUCCGGACCGGGCGAAAGGAGGAAUCCGGUGGCGGCUGGGCAUGCGGCGCAUUAGCUUGACGGCGGGGUAACGGCCCACCGUGGCGACGAUGCGUAGGGGUUCUGAGAGGAAGGUCCCCCACAUUGGAACUGAGACACGGUCCAAACUCCUACGGAAGGCAGCAG
rnacentral:rRNA from 1 species